GUGAAUCAUCGAAUUUUUGAACGCAAAUUGCACUCUCUGGUAUUCCGGAGAGUAUGCCUAUUUGAGGGUCAGUUGAAAUAAUAUAAAGUGCGAGAGUUGCUUGGAAUCAAAAAGGGGAGGGUCCAGCUUGCGUGGGGUGGGCGCCUGAAAUGCAAGACAAGCUCAGUUCUUGGGGUGCGUGAUACUUUGAGUUACCGCGUGACUGCGAAAGGAAUCAUCGAGCGUGGUAAGAAUUAUGAAAGAGAUAAACAACUUUUAU
rnacentral:misc_RNA from 1 species